rnacentral:lncRNA from 1 species
GCUUUCCCGCCGGCGGCGGCGGCGGCCGCGGCCGCGGGCCGGGGAGACGGCCUUGCAGAGCGCGGGAUCCCAGGGCUGCGAGGGUGACCCAGAGCAAGCCCUGGCGCACGCGCGCUCCGCUCGACGCGGUGCUCCCGGGGUGCGUCUCUGCGAAACGCUCGGCCCUAACCGGCCCUGCACCCGGCGGGGGCGGCGGGCACUGAGCCGCUGGCUCUCGGCUGCCGCGAACAAAGGGCGCAGGAUUUAACCUCGGCUCUCUGGGCGUGCCUUUGCAGGCCCUCGUGCGCUCUGCUGGGGAAAAGAAAAAAAGCUUCUGCCAAUGCCAGUGCAGCUGUGUGUCCGCUGUAGUUGUGCAGGUUAAUUCUGCGCGAGCGAAAACACCGAGAAAGACGUUCAGGCACUGGAUAUCCACGCAGGCCUUAAGGAACCCCUGUGCAGCCUUGUGCCACGAGAGGAGUGGAUUCACUAACUUUCACGCUGAUUCCUCAAACCAAGUUGUUUCAUUUUUGGCCAAAACUCUUUAUGUUGAUCACUUUCCUUGAGUACCUACUGUCUGCCUAGUGUUGGAGACAUGGAAAUAAACGAUAAUUGUUUUGCCUGAAAACAGCACAGUUUAGUGGAGAGGACAGACAACUGAGCAGAUACUUACCAAAGCAUGCUUAGUGUUAGGGCACAGGCCCUGGGAAACGAGAAAGAUGCGCCUCCGACAGGAAGUCCAGGCUACAUCUGGAGGGAGGAGAGGCCUGCAGAGCCUGAUGAGGACUGCCACCAUCACCUCCCCCGAAGGAGGACCAGCUGGAGCUGAGGAGCAAGGCUUCUGGGUGAGGUGUCCAUUAGUAAUGCCCUCAUUUUAUAAUUCAGGGAGUGAGUUAAUUAAUGUGCCCAAGGUCACACAGCUGGAUCAUUUCCCUUUGGUGCCUGUGGAGUUUGAGCUGCGCCUGGGACAAGUAAGUGAGGAUGUCUAGGAGGCAGUUGGGUAAACACUUGCAGAGUCAGGAGCGAUGGCUGAGAUGAUAGAAAUCUGGGAGUCAUUAGUGCACAGCUAGUGGUGGAAGGAGCUGAAAUAGAUAGGGGGAAAAAGCCCAGGAACACGGGUAUGUAAGGGAUAAGUUGGAGGCAAGAAGAGGUGAAGAGAGAGCUCUGAAGUGAUCAGCUCUGUCUGGUGCUUGGAGUAGAAGUCCAGCAAGAUAAGAAUUGGAAAGUGCCUGACGGGUGCUACAUGCAGGGAGCUUGUCCUGCGUGUAGGCUGGCGUGGUGAGGGCAAAAGCUAGACUGAUGUGUAUCAAAGAGGGGAAGGCAGGCAGGAGAAAGUUUAUAGAAACUUGGCUGUGAAGGCAAGUUGUGAAGACAACAGAAAAAACCUGCAGGAGGAAGUGAGAGUGUUUGCUUGUGUGUUGUUUUGUUUUGAGAUGAGAGUAAUGUACUCUUUUUUAAAAUUAUUUUAUUUUAUUAUUAUUAUACUUUAAGUUUUAGGGUACAUGUGCACAAUGUGCAGGUUUGUUACAUAUGUAUACAUGUGCCAUGUUGGUGUGCUGCACCCAUUAACUCGUCAUUUAGCAUUACGUAUAUCUCCAAAUGCUAUCCCUCCCCCAGAGUAAUGUACUCUUAAUUACUUGUUAAAGGAACAAAGAAAGUAGUUUUCAAAUUUUAUUUUCGGGUCCACUCAUCUUCUACUUCAUUACCACUUCCUAUCACUACUUUUUAAUCUUCCAACUGAACUACCAUUAUAUUUUCCAAAUCCAUCUUGUUUCUGUAACAGCUGUCAUCCGCAAGACCACUAACAUUGCAUUAGAAAGUACAGACAUGAGGCUCGCGCGGUGGCUCAUGCCUGUAAUCCCAGAAUUUUUGGAGGCUGAGGCAGGCAGAUCACUUGAGGUCAGGAGUUCGAGACCAGCCUCGCCAAAAUGGUGAAACCUGGUCUCUACCAAAAAUAUAAAAAAUUAACCAGGUGUGGUGGCACGUGCCUGUAAUCCCAGCUACUCUGGAGGCUGAGGCAGGAGAAUCGCUUGAACCCGGGAGGCAGAGGUUGCAGUGAGCCGACAUCAUGCCACUGCACUUUAGCCUGGGCAAGAGAGCAAGACUCCAUCUCAAAAAAAAAAAAAAAAGUACAGAUGUGAGUAGAUCUCUGUUUCCUACCCUUUGGCAUUUGGCAUUUGGCAUUUCUGGAGAUCUACUGUCUACCAAAUUCUGUCCAAGAUCCCCACACCAUGUUUCCAGCCUGUUGCCAGGGCACAACCCAGGUUUUGUCAUUCCCUGGACACAUCUGGGAAUUGACAUGGCUGGGCCUUUGCUCUCAUAGAAAACCCCUCUCUGCUCCUCUAUAUAGGCAGGCCCAUUUAACAUCUAGUUGAUAUUGAGAUGUCACUGCCUUUUCAUUCAUUAAUCAUGUAUUGAGCAUGUACUUUGUGCCAGGCACUGUGCGGAAAAGCUUCCCCACUCUCCUUUCAGCCAGUCUUGGCAUCUUCCACCAUAUGCUUCUAUGACUCCACCAUAGCACCUCUUACCUUGUAUUGCUGUUAUCUGAAAAAAAAAAAAAAAAAAAAAAAAAAAAAAAAAAAAAAAAAGUCUGCAUUAUUCUGACAUGAUGUGCCCCCGCUGUAUCUCUACCUGUUUCUGUGAAGAGUGGCAGAACUUAAAAAUGGGUCCACAAAGCCAAAUGAGAUCCCCCUUCCCCAAUUCAUACAGUCUGCUUUCCUCUUGUGAGUCAGGGAAAUAGAUCUGGCUAAGGAAGGAUGAAGUCUUAAGCUGGGGUUGGAAAGGGGGACUUGGGAGGAGAGUAGUGAGUUGAGCUUUGGACAGGUUGCCUUGGGACUCGGUGCUUUACAGCUAUUGGGGCCUAUAAUGGUUGUUGAAUGAGGAAGUGAUAGUCCAAAGGGGGUAUUUUCUGUGUACCAUCCUACUGAGAUUUGAAUGCACAAGAAACAAGAUUUGGCUUCUAAGAUCCAUGUGCUUGAGAUAGUUAACGGAUUUUGGAGGUUCUUUCCUGGAUAGGAUUAUUUGGUUUUUAUGUUGACAGUGUUUGAGAGGUCUUUUAGCAAGUAGUUGGUAUCAGCUAGACUUUGGGUGCCUUGGCAGCAUUUUCUAGCAUUUUCCUGUUCUGAAGACAGCAGCACCUGUAUCUGUUCUGGAACAUCUGGUGGCCAUUUGCACAGCUACUGCUGGACUUCCAUCUUUAUCUCUCCAGGCAGACGAGUCGAACCUUCCAAUAGGAAAUUUUGGGUAAUGCUCAAGAAGUGAGCAGUCCAGAGCUGGUGAGGUGAUUCUGCCAUCCCCAACAUGUGAACUCCAGGGUGACUUUGCCAUUUGUCAUGAUUUUCUAGCCACAGGAUGGAGAAAGAGGAAGUAGAAGGCCUGCAGUUUCCAUUUUAGGAUGUUACAUACUUCAUGUUCACUCAUAUCCCAUUGGUCAGAGCUUGGUCACAGGGCCAUGCAAGGUGCAGGGGAGGCUGGGAAAGGUAUUUUUGGACCGGAUGACCAUGUAUCUUGCUGAAUCUCAGAAAACUUCUAUUAUUAAAGGUACUAAAGUCUGAAUGGAUAUGGGAGGAAAAUCAUUAAUCUUCACCAUGGCUGUCUUUUGCCAAGAGCCCAAUAAGGUUUGGCUGUGUCCCCACCCAAAUCUCAUCUUGAAUUGUAGCUCCUAUAAUUCCCACGUACUGUGGAAGGGACCUGGUGGGAGAUAAUUGGAUCCUGGGGGCAGGUCUUUCCCGUGCUAUUCUUGUGAUAGUGAAUAAGUCUCACAAGAUUUGAUAGUUUUGUAAAGGGGAGUUUCCCUGCACAAGCUCUCUUCUCUUGUCUGCUGCCAUGUGAGAUGUGCCUUUCACCUUCUGCCAUGAUUGUGAGGCCUCCUUAGCUACGUAGAACUGUGAGUCCAUUAAACCUCUUUCUCUUGUAAAUUGCCCAGUCUCGGGUAUGUCUUUAUCAGCAGUAUGAAAACAGACUAAUACAGAGCUAUAACAAUGAAUAAAAAAAUCAACAUUCUGAAAUUUCAUACCAUUCCUCCCAAUAGCACAGCAUGUAGAGUUGGCCACAUUUUACCUAAAUCUUUUGCCAUCACCAAAUUACUGACCUGGAAUAAUUUAAUCUUACUGCCUUCUAUCCUACCUCUUCUGCUCAGCCAAUUAAUAUUUUAGAGUCUAUUUCUCAUAGCAAACCACUUCAAAACAUAAAAUUCUGUCUCAAGUAGGAAUGCUUAUGGCUGCAAGUAAUGACAACCUGAUCAAUAGCUUAAAAAGGGGUUUAUUUUUCUCAUUACAUAAAAAGUCUAGAGUAGUGGUUUCUGGCAUUGGUUCCAAUGCUGCAGCCGAGGACUAAGACUCUUUCUUUCAUUCUGCUUGACUUUUCUUAACAUGUUGGCUUUUUGACUUCUUCUUUGUUAUUUUGUGCUUGCAAGAUGAUUGCUAUGGUUCCAGCCAUCACAUCUAUUUCUUUUUUUUUUUUUUUGAGAUGGAGUUUUGCUCUUGUUGCCCAGGCUGGAGUGCAAGGGCAUGAUCUCAGCUUACCGCAACCUCCACCUCCUGGGUUCAAGUGAUUCUCCUGCUUCAGUCCCCCUAGUAGCUGGGAUUACAGACAUGCGCCACCAUGCCCAGCUAAUUUUUUUUUUUUUUUUUUUUUUUAGUAGAGAUAGGGUUUCUCCAUGUUGGUCAGGCUGGUCUUAAACUCCCAACCUCAGGUGGUCCACCCGCCUUGGCCUCCCAAAG